CGGGGUGCACCAGGCGCGAAAACUUUACAAUGCUGGCAACAGCGAUAAGGGGACCUCGAGUGCCAGGAUACAAUCUUGGCUGUCGCGAUGCCUAAAAAGCAUUGCAUAGCAAGGGCCGGGCAAGACCGGUGCCAGCCGCCGCGGUAACACCGGCGGCUCGAGUGGUAACCGCUAUUAUUGGGUCUAAAGGGUCUGUAGCCGGCCGGAUAAGUCUUUUGGGAAAUCCAGCUGCUCAACAGUUGGGCUUUCAGAAGAUACUGUUCGGCUCGAGACCGGGAGAGGUGAGAGGUACUUCAGGGGUAGGGGUGAAAUCUUGUAAUCCUUGAAGGACCACCAGUGGCGAAGGCGUCUCACCAGAACGGAUCUGACGGCAAGGGACGAAAGCUAGGGGCACGAACCGGAUUAGAUACCCGGGUAGUCCUAGCCGUAAACGAUACUCGCUAGGUGUCAGCCACGGUGCGACCGUGGUUGGUGCCGUAGGGAAGCCGUGAAGCGAGCCACCUGGGAAGUACGGCCGCAAGACUGAAACUUAAAGGAAU
rnacentral:rRNA from 1 species